rnacentral:rRNA from 1 species
CAUACACUGCUAGACGGAUAGCUUGGUUUGAAUUGCGAUGAAGGACGUGGCAAGCUGCGAUAAGCUUGGGGUAGCCGCAUGCGGGCUUUGAACCCAAGAUUUCCGAAUUCGACAACGUUCUAGUAAUAGAAUAUAGAGAUAUAAGCAUACGCUGGGAACUGAAACAUCUUAGUACCAGCAGGAAGAGAAAAUAAAAAUGAUUCCCCCAUUAGCAGCGAGCGAAAAGGGAUCAGGGCAAACCGAAUCUCCUUUUGAAAAGAAGGUAGAGAUGUGGUGGAAGUUAAGGCUAAGUCAUGGAGAGAAAGUUUUCUGGAAUGAAGCACUUUAAAGGGUGAUAGUCCCGUACUCUAACGUGAUAUGCUAUAUUCCAAAAGAGUAGGGCCCCCUAGAUAGGAGGUCUGAAGACGGCAGGAUUAACUGCCAACCCUAAAUAUAAAUUCAAGUCCGAUAGCGAACUUAGUACCGCGAGGGAAAGCUGAAAAGCACUCUUAAUAGAGGGUUAAAAGACUUGAAAUCUAGCAGUUACAGCUGGCUACAGCAUUAAGGUGUUGUAGCGUACGUUUUGAAAAACAGGCCACGGAGUAUUCGCAUGUGGCGAGGUUAAUUUAUGAAGCCGUAGCGAAAGCGAGUUCGAAAGAGCGUUAGUCACAUGCGCAUGACCCGAAGCCAGAUGAUCUACUCGUGGGCAGAACGAAGUUCUCCGAAAGGAGAAUGGAGGUUCGAACCAGUAUUGUGCACAUGCAUUUGGAUGAUCUGCGAGUGGGGGUGAAAAGCCUAUCUAAUCUGGCGAUGGCUGGUUCCUGUCGAAAUAUGCCUAAGUAUAGUCUCGUUUGAGCUUGUCAGCGGGGUAAAGCACGGAUGGAACUUGCAGAGCCUAUAUGGCUACGGAGUUCGAUUCCAACUCUGAACUUGCUGACUGUAAUCAACGGGAAUGGCGGGCAGUGCGUAAGGUACUGUUCGAAGACCCGAACAAGGGAGACUGGAGUUAAGGUCCCAAAAUAUGUGUUAAGUGUAACAAACCUAGUUUUAAACCUGAGACAGUAGGGAUGUAGGCUUAGAAGCAGCCACCAUUUAAAGAAAGCGUAACAGCUCACCUAUCGAGGUUUGAAGCAGGGAAAAUGGACAGGGCUAAACACAUUACCGACACUCCAGAGGCACUCGCAAGAGUGUUCUGGUAGGCAGGCGUACUUUUUGCGUAGAAGUAUUUUCGAAAGAAAGUAUGGAGCGAAAAGUAAUGAGUAUCGUGGUGCUAGUAAGAUCAGAUUAUCCUGAGAACGGAUAGCGUCGAAAGAGCAAGGUUUCCUUGGCACUAUUGUUUAACCAAGGGUUAGUCGGCUCCUAAGUCAACUCUUAACUGCGGUUGGCGAUUGGACAUCUGGUUAAUAUUCCAGAACUUUCUAUGUAUUACAUUGCACGAUGUGCUUGGGGAUAAGCGGAGGUUCGAGAGAACUUCUAGGCAAGAAAAUUAGGGAGCGUAAUGCUUUAAUCUAGUUGAAUUGUUUGGAUAAAUUUGCUGACUCCUAGAGUCCUUGAAAAAUUUGUGUACUUUACAUAGAAGCCGUACCAAGAACUGACACUGGUGCUCUAGCUGAAAAGGCUAAGACGUGAAAGGUAUAACCUGGUUAAGGGAACUCGGCAUAUUGGCCCCCUAGCUUCGGUAGAAGGGGUGUCUAUGGAUGUCUUUGAUUUAUCGAAGGCGUUUGUAGAUCUCAGUAACAAGGACCGUCCGACUGUUUAUCAAAAACGUAGCCGAUUGCCAAUCUGAAAGGAUUUAUAUAAUCGGUGAGUCCUGCCCAGUCGCGGUGUUUCAAACCCUCGUUCAAGAGGGCUAAGACCCGUGAAACGGCGGGCCUAACUAUGAGGCUCUUAAGGUUGAAUAGAAAACUAAACUGCCUUACGAGAUUAAGAAAUAAAUUAAAAUAAAAAUUAAUUUUGCUCAAGCUUCAUAGACAGGCAAAAUAAACAAAAAGACAUAUUUGAAAAUUGAAAUAAACAUAUGCGAGAUCCAUGAGAAAAUCUAACUAUAUGCUGGAACAUCUGAGAAUGUCACUUUACGACGACAACUUAAUUUUUAAAGUUUGUUGGCGUGAAAAUAAGAUGACUGCAGACAACCAAGCAGGAAAGAUUCAAUAUAAUCAGCUUUCUAAUGAGAUUGAAAAAUCUUAUUUAUUUGGAGUUUAUUUAGGAGAUGGCUGUUGCUUUAAAUCAAAAAGCUAUGGCUUUUGUAUAGUCUCUGGAGAUAAAGAUGUAAUCGAAAAAACAUGCUUUAUUGUAAAUAAAUUAUUCAAUAAAAAAGGAUUUUUAAAAGAAAUAAUACCAAAUAAAACUAUACUUUAUAAAUACAGAGUUUAUGGAAAAAGUUUAUUUGAAUGUUUAACUCUUCAAACAAAUAAUAAAUCUAAGAUUCCUGAAUUUGUUACAAACUCAGAAAAAGAGAUAUUUUCUGCAUUUGUAGCAGGUUUAAUGGAUACGGAUGGAUACAUAAGCACUGGAACUAACAAGUUCGGUUGGCAAAGAUUUUCUUUAGGGUUUAUUAAUUCUGGAGACUGGAUUGAUGAUUUUAUUUCGUUGUUGCGAAAUUUCGGAGUAAAGGUUGGUAAAAAGACCUUGAAAAAGAAAUAUAGAAGUAUUAAUGAAAAAGAUUGUUUUCAGAUAAAUAUAAAUUUAAGAAGCUUUGUUGAAAAUGGUUUUUAUUUCAAUUGUCGUAGAAAACAGAAUUUACUCGAAAAAUAUAAGGUAAAUGUAAGAUAUCAGUCGUAUUGAAAAUCCUCAGAGAACAUACGUUAGACGUAACAACAAGGAAAGUUUGUAAGAAAACCUUGGUUUGCUUACGAAGAUAUGUUC